CAUGUUCAGACACUGUGGGCGUCCAAAAGCAGAACUCCUGUGAGGAACCGGGACCUCCAUGAUGCUGAGGAGCCUCCCAGUCCCCACCUGAGGACGGCACAGAGGAAAACACCUGGAGGAAAGAAGGUUCAAUAUGGAAGCAGCGUUCUAGCAGUCGGAUCUCUGUGGAACAGACUCCAUCCACACGUGUUUGAAGGAGCUGAAGCAGAGGAUGGAGAACACAGACCACCAAGGAGGAGAAACAUGGC